UGGCCGGCGGCGCGCGUGUGCGCGGUGCGAACCCUGCACCCCGGACCCGGGCGGUCGGAGCUGCGCGCCGCGUGCCCGUGCGCGGGCCCCACCAACUUCUGCGCCGCAGCCCCCGGGCUGUGCGUGGGGUGACGGGCACCCCUCCCGGGCCCGGAGCCGGGGACCCGGCGCCCCGAGCACGGAGCCUCCGCGCCCGCCCCCGGGAGGAAGGGCUGUGGCCGCGGCGCCCGGGAAGGGUUCGUGCCGUCCCCGCGCCGCGCACCCCGGGGCGUCUGGCGCACCCCUCUCCCGGCCCAGGACAGAGCUGCUGGGAGCCAGAGAGGAAAUCUCGCCUCAGGAAACGAAAGGAAGUCUGAGCCACGCUUCGCAGAGCUGGACGGGAACCUGAGGGCUCCGGGCAGCAGGUUUUACAGAUGGUAACAGAAGCCAGCAGGGUGAGCAGCCGGCCUCCACGCAGACCCUGGGUGCCAGGCCGGCCGUCAUGAAAGGGUGCUGUGCGCGGCAGGAAAGGAUGGCGACUCCACCACGGCUGGCAUCAGAGGAGGAGAGGCCUGGGGCCGAUGUGUGAAGGGGCUGCCAAGCAUGGAUGGGGCACGCGGCCAGGCAGCUGUGCACGCAGGGUCCAGGCGGAAGGGCAGAUCCCCUGCUCGGGCGCUGAGGGCGACGUGGUGUCCGGGAGGCCCGAGGGGCCAGGGCAGCGCCCAGAGCUGGACCCAGGGCGCUGGCUUCCUGUCCCUCGUGACGUGACCUCCAGGCAAGUGCUCUCCCACUGUGCAGGAGGGAAGCACUGUCAGCCCUGCCUCCUUCCCACCAGGCUGUUCCCAAGGUCUGGGGACCUCCAGUGCGACUCUGGUAGGCAUGAGAAGCUGCUGCUCUGUGGAGUCCAGUGCUGCCAGGCGGCCUUGACAGGGCGGCUCCAGAGCGGGGGACGCCAGAACUGAGCCGCGUCCAUCCUGCCUGCACUGUGCAGGUUUCAGGGUGGCGGCAUGUGAGCGUCUCUCUCUCUCUCUCUCUCUCUCUCUCUCUCUCUCCCCCACACGCACACACGCACUCACCCCUAGUAAGAUAAAAACAAGGUGACAUCGAGGACAAAAACCACAAUGCGUCCCAUCUGCUUUGUUGGAGCUGACUUACAAGUUCGAUUUUGAAUUUCUUAAUACUCAAGUUAAAGAGGAAAAGUAAAAUAACAAGACAUAUGCCAACCCACAAGAUCAUGGCUCCCUAUGAGGCCACCACUCGGUCGGCAGGGACACAGGAGGGUGGUCAGGGUGGCCAGGAGGACGCCUGGGCCUCGGCUCGGGCCUGAGGGAGGGUCUGGCCAGCGCACGUGGCAGACCUUCUCCAAUGACCAGGGGACGUGCUUGGCCAGUUUUUCGUGGUAUUAGGGACUGAGCACAGGGACUCGAAAAUGUUAGGCAAGCACUUCGCCAGAGUUAUAUCCCUACCCUAGCGGUAUAUUCAUCGUUUAGUUUGGGGCUUUGGAGACACAGUCUGACUGUUGCCCAGUGGCCAGCCUGGCCCAGAACUUGCUGUCCUCCUGCCUUGACCCGAGUAGCUGGGCGCAGGCCACCUUCCUGCCUCAAGUGGCUGGUGGGGGUCCUCCAGUGGCCCCGAGCCCCAGCUGGCGGUCCUCAUUGGCUCUCCACAGCGCUCAGGCGACGCUCCUGGCCCAGAAAAUCAGCAAGAGGCCCCUCAGGCCCUGUGCCUCGCCUCGCCUCCUGUAAUCAGUAUGCCUCAGACCCGAAGCAGCAGGGAGACGGGGCCAGCUGCAGAGCCCUCUGUGCUGAGUACAGCCCGGCCUGCCACAGGGGGCCGCAGGGCUGCAGGCUGGGUUUGCUGGGCUCCUGUUUGAUCAGACAACAGAAUAAUCAGGGCCGCCUCCAGGUCCCCUCCGCGGGCUGGGGAGCAGGACACAGGGCAACCGAAAGCAUCGCGAAAUCCGCCUGCGUGGGCCCGUGGCGGGCGGGGAGGAGCCUGUCUGGCCCUGUCGCCGCCCCGGGAAACGCAGACUCCUUUCCUGUAAUUGCGGUGAAACUGUCACCGAAGGUUCACUCUUCUGGCCGUUUCUGGACGCACAGCUCAGCGUCGUGAAGUAGCUCUCACUCGUGUGCAACACAAGCAAACGGGCUCCAGAGCCCCGCCCCUUCCCCAGGCGGCUCCACCGGAUAAACACCCCUCCCUCUACCUGCACCUGGAUGCCUCCUGCCUUCUCGCUAGAGCAGGACCACUCAGGACCACGUGACCCUGGACUCAGGCGGUGCCUUACUUCAUGUACCGCCCGGCCUUCACAGUUCCCUCACAGGGCAACGGGUGCCAGAAGUUCCUUCCUUUUCAGGGCCAAAUAAUAUUCCUGCCAUGUGUCUAUGCUGCCUUUUGUUUAUCCUUCGGUCUGCUCCUGCCUUUUGGCUGUUGUGAACAAUGCUGCAGUGAACACAGGGGUGCAUAAGCACCCACAAGAAUCCUGCUUUCCAUGCUUUGAGGCAUUCCCCGGGGGUGGGAUUGGUCGGUCACAUGGUAAUUGAUUUUUAAUUCUUUGAGAAGGAGACAGCACUUUUAAUUUUCUUUGGAGAAAACACAGUUUUGAAUGACUUGCUUCAUUGAUGGAGUCACUUUCCUGAGCAUCGGGACUCCCGGGUCCUGGUCCAAGUGCCCCCACUGAUUGCACCCUUUGGGAGUCGCCUGAGGCAGCAGGACGGCUGUCUCCUCCCCUGAGGGGUUUUCCUCCGCACUUCGGGGAACUGAGCCCGGGCCCUUUGCAGGGCAAGUGCCCUACCGCCGAGCGCACCCAGCUGUGAAGAUCUGUGUGCCAUGCACAGGUGUCUCCGCCCUGUCUGCAGGGGCGUCUGGGUCCUGGAAGUGCUGGGGAGAAUGCUGGUUCCUGUCAGUUUGGCAUAGUUUUCACUUUGUGUUCACUGACAAAAGAAAACCGAAAUGAGAGCGAGCAGAGAGAACCGGGGUUAAAGAGGGCCUUAGUCUGGCCAGGAUACCUGAAAUGGGCAGUUUGUCACAAGCAGAGUCGGGCUGAAAGCUGAAGAAUCACAGUUUGUAAUGUACUUGGUAUGUUUAUAGUGUACAGAAAAAUGAAGUAGUUCUUCAAAAAA